AUGGAUCAGGAGGGACGUCGGUUCCCUCCAACCCCGCUGGCGCACCCCCUUCAUCAUGACUGCCCUUUGUGGACCUCGACGGCUGCCUGUCUGUCGAAAGCAAGAAGGCCAGAAAAGAUGGCGCUUCGUUGCGAAGACGACGACAUUGUUCCGCUGGACGGCGAAGCCAUCCAACAAAUCGCAUCUACCAAGAAACAACCACGGGUUGUACUGCUUGCGCUGUCCACUGGAAGAAAUAUUGAUCCCGCUGCUGCGAUCAAAACUUCAUGCAUUGAUUGUUCGUUCUUGCUUAGAUUAAAUAUAUAUACUAAUUACAAUACUUGUGUCUGCAUGCAUCAAUUUGCAACAAGGAAAUUUGGCUAG
rnacentral:rRNA from 1 species